rnacentral:rRNA from 1 species
GACGAACGCUGGCGGCGUGCUUAACACAUGCAAGUCGAGCGAUGAAGCACCUUCGGGUGUGGAUUAGCGGCGAACGGGUGAGGAACACGUGAGGAAUCUGCCUUUCACUUCGGGAUAACUCCGGGAAACCGGGGCUAAUACCGGAUAUUUUCAACUGGCGGCAUCGCCGGUUGAAGAAAGUUUUUCGGUGAAAGAUGACCUCGCGGCCUAUCAGCUUGUUGGUGAGGUAAUGGCUCACCAAGGUGACGACGGGUAGCCGGCCUGAGAGGGCGACCGGCAACACUGGGCAUGAGACACGACCCAGACUCCUACGGGAGGCAGCAGUGGGGAAUAUUGGGCAAUGGAGGAAACUCUGACCCAGCGACGCCGCGUGAGGGAUGAAGGCCUUCGGGUUGUAAACCUCUUUCAGCAGGGAAUAAGCGAAAGUGAAGGUACCUGCAGAAGAAGCACCGGCUAACUAUGUGCCAGCAGCCGCCGUAA